AUGUUUAUGAUUGUGCCAGAGCACAUUUUGAACAACACCAUGGGAAUUUCGGAUUUCACACAGGUGGUUGGAUGUUACACUCUGGAAAUGGAAGAAAAUUUCUCUAGAUCCGCCCCUGUGAGUGGGUCCUGUCUUCUCCAAGUCCACACCACCUUCAUGCAUGCAGGGGCACCCCCCUGCAGACCUGAUCCCUCCGUCCGUGCACAUACCACUCACACCCGUCUCCUCAGAGUGGGGCGAGUUUUAUAAAGUGAUAUUUCAGUGUGAAUUUAUACAAUGACUUUAUCUUUGACCCUGACACUGUGGAGACGCCUCAUACAAAGACUUGUUUUAGACACUAGUCUGUAAAGGUGUAUGUAAGUAAGUAAGUAAGUAAAAUGUAUUUAUAUAGCGCUUUUCACAGAUAAAAGUCACAAAGUGCUUUACAACACAGGAAAUGGGAAUAUAUGUUAGAAGAAUUGUGUUGCCUUUGAUGUACAUUGUCACAUUGACUCAGUAACAGGACAUUGACAGAUAUUUUAGACAGACCCCCCCCACUAAGGUGCCAGUUAUAUUCUCGUCACGUAUGUAAUAAUAACUUCUAAGGUCUCCUGACAGGAUAAUAACACAAACAGACACACAUGGAGCUGACUGUGAGUCCACAGGAGGCCUCAGUCCCCUCACUGUCUCUGCUGUGGUGAACAUCUGGAGUCCUUUAACUGUCAAAGGACUCAGAGAGGACGCCUCUGGUCUGCUCGCUUUAUCUCCACCGUCUCCACCCACAUCACUGACACUCAGCCCCACCCUGUCUCUAUCAGUGACCGUUCACCCACUUUAACUAAGGUGGAGUUUCAGUCACUUCAUCACAUUUACUGUGAUAUGUUUCAUCAGCAGCUUCAUGGGAGAAUCAAACUCUGUUGGUUCGUUUACACAAUAAUGUUCCUCUAAUCAGACACACACACCAACACACACACACACACACACACACACACAACAAUAACACUCAAGACCCAGUUCAGUCUUUUUAUGCAGGGACGCUUGAUCACUGAUGGAGCCGCAGUGUGUCGGCCUCUCCUGCAGCCGCGCGACAAGCCACGCCCACCACAAACCACGCCCACCACAACGCUUAGAUUACUUUUGUAAACAAAAUCUAAACAAAAGUAAGAAUAAAAGUAGAAAAAGAUACAUAUGAACAAAAAUGUGAAAAGUCU
rnacentral:lncRNA from 1 species